UGAUUUACUCUUUACUUCUACCAUAAGCCCUACCACCCUACUCUUCUUCAUUUACUUCCUUUGCUACCCCCAUUCUUUCUAUAAAGCCUAAAAAGGUGAAACCAUAUUCCAUCUUUUAAUUGAUGAUAGGUACUUACCAUAGGGUUGUCUAUUGUUAUGCUUAGUUGGGACUCUUUUAAGUUUUAAUCGAAUUCUCUAUUUGCCAAUUUAAAAAUGGAACUCAAAUCCCAAAAUCACAAAAUAACAAUACAUACAAACUAACUAUUUACAUGGAUGAAUCCAAAUACAUAUUUGUUAUAUUUAUAUAUUUUAGGGUGAAUGUACCUAUCAUUUGCAAGAUUCCAAGCUUCUUGCCUCAAUUCUGGAGGAGUUUUGAGGGUGGCAAGGUAGUUUGAUAUGAAUUUAUGAGGAUGCUCCACAUGACAAAUAAAACCCAUCUCUUUCAAGAUGUGUCUUUCAGUUCUGCUCAAAUGAGUCUUCAAUUCAGCAUAUUUCUGUUAACAAAGAGCAAAGAUAAGCACACACUUUAGGAAGAAAACACAUCAAGACUUCUAAUAAACAACAUAUACAUUCCCAGACUUUCGUAACCAAUAU
rnacentral:lncRNA from 1 species